rnacentral:lncRNA from 1 species
UGCAAGACACUUUUCACUUGACGCGGAUCCGGUUUUGCAUCUUUUGUGAUUUCGAUAGGCAUCGCACCCUCACCUCAGGAUCAGAGGACUUGUUUGAGCGCUAAGCUUUGUUCGCUUCGCAAGUGACGGUUGGGCUCCUCUUCCUUCGCUGCUUUCGUACACCAGGGGGGCUAGUGGAGCAGCCUCCUCUCGCCGUGCCCGGUGCCCAAAGCAAAGCAUUGAAAGAGCACAGGGAAAGGGUAGGAUCUAGAACCUAAAUCGGAGGAGAAUAGAUUACCAGACCAGAAUCAAGAAAAAGGGUCGCUGGGUGCUUUUCAUUGUAAUUAGGCUACAUGUUUGCACAAAUUAUUACUCCAACUCCAUCUGAUACAGAAACCACCAGUGAGGGAAAAGUUAUUAUUUUUUUGGGUAUAUAUUGUAGUAAGUUCGUGUUUGGACAAGACAAUUGACACUUUAUUUUUCAUUUCUU